rnacentral:tRNA from 1 species
GAUAAAGUGGCUGAAUUUUAGGCGGUAAAUUGUAAAUUUAUUUAUGGUUAAGAACCCUUUAUUA